rnacentral:sRNA from 1 species
UUUUUCAUUCAUAGUCACUUUCAUACGCUCAUCUUAUCACAAACUUGUUAGGCCAACGCUUUGUUAAACUAUAUUGACCAACUUGAUAACUAUUGAAGCAACUAUCUUCAACUACGUGAUGGGUUGAAACAUAUUUAUUUUAUCUUGAUGUUAAUAUAUUUCAAAAAAAAUUUAUAAUUAAUGAUUAUUUUUCAUGUUUGAAGUGAAAGGUUAUUAUAAUAGAGUUUUCCUACGUACAAAUCUAAGCAUUUGAGGAUCGCUUACGAGUUGAUAGAAAUAAGGAGAUAAGAUAUUGGUAUUUAUCAAUAAUUAAAUACAAUUCAAGCAAGAAACAAUUGAAUAUUAGGGUUGGAUAAAACUCCUGAACCGAUUCGAAUCAAACGAUUCUUCUUAAGUUAAAUACCCAAAAAGGUAUCUGAAUUGAGAACCGACAAGUCUUGUUCGAUUCUUGGUUCUAAAUCAAGAACUAAAUAAGACUAGAAUCUCCCUAAUUAUUUAAAUAAGUCAAAUUAUUUUAUUUUUUAAAAUAAAUUUGCUAACUAGUUAAUUUAGCUCAAACCCAAAANGAGGACUACUCAUGCUCGAGGACAUGGAUCAUAAAAUGUUGAAGCAGCAAGACUAGAAGUGCUCGAGCAUUAUACCCUAGGGGAGUAUAUGCUCGAUCACUACAGGUGGGAUUGCAAAGGAAUCCUGAUGAAAGUCCUCGGGAUAAUGUGUUCGAGCAUACCAAAAUUUCGAUGUAUCAUUGACCCCGUGCUCUGACCCUGGGUUAGAACUGAGGAAGUUAUGCUAGGGUGCAAGAUGAAUAGAGCUGGAUUUACUGAUAAGUAAUGUUGUCAAGAUUUUAAUGUUCUUGGGGGAGCGUUGGUGUGGAAAUAGCAAGAGGAUGAUUUAUCUCAGUAAAAAAUGAGGGGUCCCUGGAUGGAAGACAUGUGGCAUGGGUCAAAGGCUGAGAUUGAUGUGACCCUUGGUCUUCUCCCAAGGUUCUAUAAAUACCUCGUGAUUCUAUUCAUUUUUUACUUUUUACUCUCUGUGAAUCUUCAAGUGCAAGAUCGGGUUCGAGCUAUAAACUUAGCUUUUGUUGUUUGGGCAUCGGGUUUCUCGAGGUAAGGCUCUAGACUUUUAAGUUAUUUCUUUAGUUUUAAAUUGAAGAGAGAUGUCGAGCACUG